rnacentral:sRNA from 1 species
AAUAAAUAAAGACCCUAGGAGUCUUCCAUCUUAAACCUAGCCCUACAGGUGACCGAAUGCAGCUGGAGAAUAACUGCUUGUUAAGAGGCAGCAAAACCUUGGGUUUUGUUGGGAACAUCAUCUCUCACUACUUUGAUCUCUUGGCCAUAUGACAGACUAAUCUUAGUGUCUCAUUUAUUCUUCCAGCGGUCAGAUGGGGUGCUCACAUGCUGCAGGUUCCUUACAUGUGCUUGUUUCCUUCCCUAAACUGAAGGUAACUUUGAAGGCAGUCUUUUUCCACAUCCAUCAAGUGCUCUGGGGAAGAACACUUCUUAGCUAUUCCAUCAACACUCUUGCCAGUCUAAUCUCACCAUCAGUUUCCCCUGGCCUGCCCUUUGUCUGAAACUUUGAAGGUUAGCAAUUUGGAGAGCUAUCAGAGUGGAAGCAUGGGUUGGAAUGGUAAUGGCAUUGAAUGUCUUCAUGUGUUUUACUUUUUUCAGGUCUUAUCGAAUGUUACUUAGCCUCCAACAGUAUUCGAGAAGCAAUGGUAAUGGCUAACAACGUUUACAAAACUCUGGGAGCAAAUGCACAGACCCUUACCCUUUUAGCCACUGUUUGUCUUGAAGACCCAGUGACACAGGAGAAAGCCAAAACAUUAUUAGAUAAAGCCCUGACCCAAAGGCCAGAUUACAUUAAGGCUGUGGUGAAAAAAGCAGAACUACUUAGCAGGGAACAGAAAUACGAAGAUGGAAUUGCUUUGCUGAGGAACGCACUGGCUAAUCAGAGUGACUGUGUCCUGCAUCGGAUCCUAGGAGAUUUCCUUGUAGCUGUCAAUGAGUAUCAGGAGGCAAUGGACCAGUAUAGUAUAGCACUAAGGUAGGCACUAGCCUCCCUUGGGGGAAAGCCACUGAGGAGGGUAGAGGAGGCAGUGAGCUGCGUCACAGGAGUUAUGGAAACACACACUUUGUGUCCAUAGUUGAAAGCAGAAUAAUAAUAGUAAUGGUAGAAGAGUUAUUUGUGAAUUCAUGACUUCUAAAAAUUUUUUCUUAAAAUAUAUUAACAACAUUAGAGAACUGUUUCACUCAUAACCAUCCCACACCACUAUAACAUCUGUGUUCAUUUGUAUAGCUCAUCUUCUGUCCUUGCCCACACAUAACAUAUUUUUAUAGGGUUGUACCUAGUAUAUAUUUUUUAUUCUUCUUUUUCAAAUCAAAGUAUUGUAAGUACUUUCCCAUGUUUCUAUCUACUGUAGUCGUUAAGAACUUGAGGUCUGAAGUUUUGAAUACUACCUUCACCACCUGUGAUCUUGGGCAAGUUACUAACACAUUUCCUUGUCUAUAUCUAGCUACCUUAUUAGAUAUUAAAUGAUCGAAUGAGGGUUAAAUGAUUAUUUCAUGUAAAGCUCUUAGCCCUGUGCCUGGUACAUAGUAAAUGCUAAAUAAAUAGUAGUAUUCUUACUGUUUAAUACAGAA